GACGAACGCUGGCGGCGUGCUUAACACAUGCAAGUCGAACGGUAAGGCCCUUCGGGGUACGACGAGUGGCGAACGGGUGGAGUAACACGUGGGUGAUCUGCCCUGCACUUCGGGAUAAGCUUGGGAAACUGGGUCUAAUACCGGAUAGGACCACGGUCUGCAUGGAUUGUGGUGGAAAAGCUUUUGCGGUGUGGGAUGGGCCCGCGGCCUAUCAGCUUGUUGGUGGGGUGAUGGCCUACCAAGGCGACGACGGGUAGCCGGCCUGAGAGGGUGUCCGGCCACACUGGGACUGAGAUACGGCCCAGACUCCUACGGGAGGCAGCAGUGGGGAAUAUUGCACAAUGGGCGCAAGCCUGAUGCAGCGACGCCGCGU
rnacentral:rRNA from 1 species